GGGUCGUUAUUUUUGGAACUCAUAAUCCCUUGGUCCUAGGUUCAAAUCCUAGACGGCCCA
rnacentral:tRNA from 1 species